rnacentral:rRNA from 1 species
UGGAAAGAUGAAUCAAAGAAGGUAAUAAUCCUGUAGUCGAAAAUGUUGUCUCUCUUGAGUGGAUCCUGAGUACGACGGAGCACGUGAAAUUCCGUCGGAAUCUGGGAGGACCAUCUCCUAAGGCUAAAUACUCUCUAGUGACCGAUAGUGAACCAGUACCGUGAGGGAAAGGUGAAAAGCACCCCGGAAGGGGAGUGAAAUAGAACCUGAAACCGUGUGCUUACAAGUAGUCAGAGCCCGUUAAUGGGUGAUGGCGUGCCUUUUGUAGAAUGAACCGGCGAGUUACGAUUUGAUGCAAGGUUAAGCAGUAAAUGUGGAGCCGUAGCGAAAGCGAGUCUGAAUAGGGCGUUUAGUAUUUGGUCGUAGACCCGAAACCAGGUGAUCUACCCUUGGUCAGGUUGAAGUUCAGGUAACACUGAAUGGAGGACCGAACCGACUUACGUUGAAAAGUGAGCGGAUGAACUGAGGGUAGCGGAGAAAUUCCAAUCGAACCUGGAGAUAGCUGGUUCUCUCCGAAAUAGCUUUAGGGCUAGCCUCAAGUGAUGAUUAUUGGAGGUAGAGCACUGUUUGGACGAGGGGCCCCUCUCGGGUUACCGAAUUCAGACAAACUCCGAAUGCCAAUUAAUUUAACUUGGGAGUCAGAACAUGGGUGAUAAGGUCCGUGUUCGAAAGGGAAACAGCC